rnacentral:rRNA from 1 species
UACGUAGGGGGGCAAGCGUUGUCCGGAAUCAUUGGGCGUAAAGCGCGCGUAGGCGGCCCCGGUAAGUCCGCUCUGAAAGUCCAGGGCUCAACCCUGGGGAAGCGGGUGGAUACUGCCGGGCUAGAAUCCGGAAGAGGCGAGUGGAAUUCCCGGUGUAGCGGUGAAAUGCGCAGAUAUCGGGAGGAACACCGGUGGCGAAGGCGGUUCUCUGGGCCUGUACUGACGCUGAGGAGCGAAAGCGUGGGGAGCGAACAGG